UACGGAGGGUGCAAGCGUUGUCCGGAAUCACUGGGCGUAAAGGCGCGUAGGCGGCCCGGUAAGUAGGGGGUGAAAUCCUGCGGCUUAACCGCAGGGCUGCCUUCUAAACUGUCGGGCUCGAGCACGGUAGAGGCAGAUGGAAUUCCCGGUGUAGCGGUGAAUGCGUAGAGAUCGGGAAGAACAUCAGUGGCGAAGGCGGCUCCACUGGCCCG
rnacentral:rRNA from 1 species